GACGAACGCUGGCGGCGUGCUUAACACAUGCAAGUCGAACGAAAAGAGGGAAAGAGCUUGCUCUUUCCGGAAUUGAGUGGCAAACGGGUGAGUAACACGUAAACAACCUGCCUUCAGGAUGGGGACAACAGACGGAAACGACUGCUAAUACCGAAUAAGUUCCAAGAGCCGCAUGGCCCAUGGAAGAAAAGGUGGCCUCUACCUGUAAGCUAUCGCCUGAAGAGGGGUUUGCGUCUGAUUAGCUGGUUGGAGGGGUAACGGCCCACCAAGGCGACGAUCAGUAGCCGGUCUGAGAGGAUGAACGGCCACACUGGAACUGAGACACGGUCCAGACUCCUACGGGAGGCAGCAGUGGGGAAGCUUCCGCAAUGGGCGAAAGCCUGACGGAGCAACGCCGCGUGAGUGAUGACGGCCUUCGGGUUGUAAAACUCUGUGAUCCGGGACGAAAAGGCAGAGUGCGAAGAACAAACUGCAUUGACGGUACCGGAAAAGCAAGCCACGGCUAACUACGUG
rnacentral:rRNA from 1 species